AGCGGAAUAGCUCAGUUGGUAGAGCAGUAGAAUCAUAACCUACGGGUCAAGGGUUCAAAUCCCUUUUCCGCUA
rnacentral:tRNA from 1 species